UACAGAGGGUGCGAGCGUUGUCCGGAAUCACUGGGCGUAAAGGGCGCGUAGGCGGCGCGGUAAGCGUGCGGUGAAAGCCCGGGGCUCAACCCCGGGUCGGCCGUGCGGACUGCCGGGCUGGAGCACUGUAGAGGCAGGUGGAAUUCCGGGUGUAGCGGUGGAAUGCGUAGAGAUCCGGAAGAACACCGGUGGCGAAGGCGGCCUGCUGGGCAGUAGCUGACGCUGAGGCGCGACAGCGUGGGGAGCAAACAGG
rnacentral:rRNA from 1 species